AACGAACGCUGGCGGCAUGCCUAACACAUGCAAGUCGAGCGAGACCUUCGGGUCUAGUGGCGCACGGGUGCGUAACGCGUGGGAACCUGCCCUUAGGUUCGGAAUAACUCCCCGAAAGGGGUGCUAAUACCGGAUAAUGUCUUCGGACCAAAGAUUUAUCGCCUUUGGAUGGGCCCGCGUUGGAUUAGCUAGUUGGUAGGGUAAAAGCCUACCAAGGCGACGAUCCAUAGCUGGUCUGAGAGGAUGAUCAGCCACACUGGGACUGAGACACGGCCCAGACUCCUACGGGAGGCAGCAGUGGGGAAUAUUGGACAAUGGGCGAAAGCCUGAUCCAGCAAGGCCGCGUGAGUGAUGAAGGCCUUAGGGUUGUAAAGCUCUUUUACCCGGGAUGAUAAUGACAGUACCGGGAGAAUAAGCUCCGGCUAACUCCGUG
rnacentral:rRNA from 1 species